rnacentral:rRNA from 1 species
AGUCGAGCGGUAGCACAGGGGAGCUUGCUCCCUGGGUGACGAGCGGCGGACGGGUGAGUAAUGUCUGGGAAACUGCCUGAUGGAGGGGGAUAACUACUGGAAACGGUAGCUAAUACCGCAUAACGUCGCAAGACCAAAGAGGGGGACCUUCGGGCCUCUUGCCAUCAGAUGUGCCCAGAUGGGAUUAGCUAGUAGGUGGGGUAAUGGCUCACCUAGGCGACGAUCCCUAGCUGGUCUGAGAGGAUGACCAGCCACACUGGAACUGAGACACGGUCCAGACUCCUACGGGAGGCAGCAGUGGGGAAUAUUGCACAAUGGGCGCAAGCCUGAUGCAGCCAUGCCGCGUGUGUGAAGAAGGCCUUCGGGUUGUAAAGCACUUUCAGCGAGGAGGAAGGUGGUGAACUUAAUACGNUCAUCAAUUGACGUUACUCGCAGAAGAAGCACCGGCUAACUCCGUGCCAGCAGCCGCGGUAAUACGGAGGGUGCAAGCGUUAAUCGGAAUUACUGGGCGUAAAGCGCACGCAGGCGGUUUGUUAAGUCAGAUGUGAAAUCCCCGGGCUCAACCUGGGAACUGCAUUUGAAACUGGCAAGCUAGAGUCUCGUAGAGGGGGGUAGAAUUCCAGGUGUAGCGGUGAAAUGCGUAGAGAUCUGGAGGAAUACCGGUGGCGAAGGCGGCCCCCUGGACGAAGACUGACGCUCAGGUGCGAAAGCGUGGGGAGCAAACAGGAUUAGAUACCCUGGUAGUCCACGCUGUAAACGAUGUCGAUUUGGAGGUUGUGCCCUUGAGGCGUGGCUUCCGGAGCUAACGCGUUAAAUCGACCGCCUGGGGAGUACGGCCGCAAGGUUAAAACUCAAAUGAAUUGACGGGGGCCCGCACAAGCGGUGGAGCAUGUGGUUUAAUUCGAUGCAACGCGAAGAACCUUACCUACUCUUGACAUCCAGAGAACUUNCCAGAGAUGCUUUGGUGCCUUCGGGAACUCUGAGACAGGUGCUGCAUGGCUGUCGUCAGCUCGUGUUGUGAAAUGUUGGGUUAAGUCCCGCAACGAGCGCAACCCUUAUCCUUUGUUGCCAGCGGUUCGGCCGGGAACUCAAAGGAGACUGCCAGUGAUAAACUGGAGGAAGGUGGGGAUGACGUCAAGCUCAUCAUGGCCCUUACGAGUAGGGCUACACACGUGCUACAAUGGCGUAUACAAAGAGAAGCGACCUCGCGAGAGCAAGCGGACCUCAUAAAGUACGUCGUAGUCCGGAUUGGAGUCUGCAACUCGACUCCAUGAAGUCGGAAUCGCUAGUAAUCGUAGAUCAGAAUGCUACGGUGAAUACGUUCCCGGGCCUUGUACACACCGCCCGUCACACCAUGGGAGUGGGUUGCAAAAGAAGUAGGUAGCUUAACCUUCGGGAGGGCGCUUACCACUUUGUGAUUCAUGACUGGGGUGAAGUCGUAACAA